AGUGGGACUAAUCGUUGAUAUUCGGGCAGUAAUAACUUCAAAUGUGGCUUUCACUGCUGUCAUAUUAACUUUGGUCGGAAGAUGGCGGCAAAGUUCAGCUAGUUCUUCAGGAGUCUCUUCUCAAGAGGAAGGCAGCCUGAGCUUGACAGGCCAGGACUGAGCUGACUAUGCUAAUGGAGGACUUGCUAGACUGUACAUGAACUGAAAGGCAACUGUGCACUUCAUCAUUCACAUCAAGCACCUGAGAUAUUCCACUGAGCUUGCAUCUCAGUAAUGGCCAUCUAUCCCUGCCAAUAUGCUCAGAGUUGCUUCUCUCUUUUUAAACCACCACAGUAUCCCAUUGU